GAUGAACGCUGGCGGCGUGCUUAAUACAUGCAAGUCGAGCGGACGGACGAGAAGCUUGCUUCUCUGAUGUUAGCGGCGGACGGGUGAGUAACACGUGGAUAACCUACCUAUCAGACUGGGAUCACUUCGGGACACCGGCGCUAAUACCGGAUAAUAUCUUGAACCGCAUGGUUCAAAAGUGAAAGACGGUCUUGCUGUCACUUAUCGAUGGAUCUGCGCUGCAUUAGCUCGUUGGUACGUUAACGGCCUACCACGGCGACGAUGCAUAGCCCAACUGAGAGGGUGAUCGGCCACACUGGAAGUGAGACAGGGUCCAGACUCCUACGGGAGGGAGCAGUAGGGAAUGGUCCGCAAUGGGGGAAAGCCUGACGGAGCAACGGCACGUGAGUGAUGAAGGUCUUCGGAUCGUAAAACUCUGUUAUUAGGGAAAAACAUAUGUGUAAUUAACUGUGCACAGAUUGACGGUACCUAAUCAGAAAGCCACGGCUAACUACGUG
rnacentral:rRNA from 1 species